GACAGCGUGGCUCAGUGGAAAGAGCCCGGGCUUGGGAGUCAGAGAUCGUGGGUUCGAAUCCCGGCUCUGCCA
rnacentral:tRNA from 1 species